GGGGCUCACUAAUAUCUGUGUAGAGUAGGCAGGAUUAUGAUGUUUUGAAUGCUUUCUAGUGCUCCUCGUUUCAAGGAUCACUUGUGAUUUCUUGUGACUGAUAGUGUUACAGAUGUUGCGCUGGAGCUGUGAUGGCAGCUGGAGUGCACAGUGUGAGAACUGAAAUUCUGUUUCAAGCUCCUGCAGUAACCCAGGAAAGUAAUAUUCAUUUGCCUCCCAUUCCAUUCAAAUACACAUGUGUGGACGCUGUGGCCAGAUGGCAGCCUGUACAACAUUUAUUACUGCAGCUCUCUGAGAUACCUUACAGGAGAUUUUCUUUAGGAUCCACAUCGAAUGGGGUUGCUAUACUAAACUUGUUCAGCUGGCCUGAUUCACUCUGCUCAAAUAUGUAUAAGGGGGAUGGUUCCUGUGGAUUAUUGAGCAAUUCAGUUGCUUGGGAAGCCUAACAAAGCGCUGGAGCCCCUCAGCCCUGAGGUACCUGUGCAAAGGGUCCCUCAUCUGCUCAGCCACUCCCUGCUGUGAGGUGCCACCUUCAGGGAUGGGACAAGAGCAGCUGUUCAAACACUAUGUAGCAACCCUAAACCAUGCAAGGAAGUGGAAAGAUUUAUCAUUUCUCUUCAUCUCUAAGGAAUUCCUGGAAGAUGGUGGAAAUUACUUUUCAUCCCCAAGUAUACUAUGUCUCUUCUGACAAAAGUAUGCCAAGGUUUCUUUAGUGUCCCAGCACAUUUGACUUCUUUGUUUUGUGCCCACCA